GGCGAACGCUGGCGGCGUGCCUAAUACAUGCCAGUCGAGCGGACAGACGGGAGCUUGCUCCCUGAUGUUAGCGGCGGACGGGUGAGUAACACGUGGGUAACCUGCCUGUAAGACUGGGAUAACUCCGGGAAACCGGGGCUAAUACCGGAUGGUUGUCUGAACCGCAUGGUUCAGACAUAAAAGGUGGCUUCGGCUACCACUUACAGAUGGACCCGCGGCGCAUUAGCUAGUUGGUGAGGUAACGGCUCACCAAGGCAACGAUGCGUAGCCGACCUGAGAGGGUGAUCGGCCACACUGGGACGGUGACACGGCCCAGACGCCUACGGGAGGCAGCAGUAGGGAAUCUUCCGCAAUGGACGAAAGUCUGACGGAGCAACGCCGCGUGAGUGAUGAAGGUUUUCGGAUCGUAAAGCUCUGUUGUUAGGGAAGAACAAGUGCCGUUCAAAUAGGGCGGCACCUUGACGGUACCUAACCAGAAAGCCACGGCUAACUACGUG
rnacentral:rRNA from 1 species